rnacentral:rRNA from 1 species
GGCGAAAUUGUAGUGCAAGUGAAGAUGCUUGCUACCCGCGAUUGGACGGAAAGACCCCGUAGAGCUUUACUGUAGCUUAGCAUUGAAUCUCGGUAUUGUCUGUACAGGAUAGGUGGGAGACUUGGAAGCUUGGGCGUCAGCCUGAGUGGAGUCAUCCUUGGGAUACCACCCUGACAGUACUGGGGUUCUAACCGGCGGCCAUGA